rnacentral:rRNA from 1 species
CCUCGAGAGUGGCGAACGGGUGAGUAAUACAUCGGAACGUGCCCAGUCGUGGGGGAUAACGUAGCGAAAGCUACGCUAAUACCGCAUACGACCCGAGGGUGAAAGCGGGGGACUCGCAAGAGCCUCGCGCGAUUGGAGCGGCCGAUGGCAGAUUAGGUAGUUGGUGGGGUAAAGGCCCACCAAGCCUGCGAUCUGUAGCUGGUCUGAGAGGACGACCAGCCACACUGGGACUGAGACACGGCCCAGACUCCUACGGGAGGCAGCAGUGGGGAAUUUUGGACAAUGGGCGAAAGCCUGAUCCAGCCAUACCGCGUGCGGGAAGAAGGCCUUCGGGUUGUAAACCGCUUUUGUCAGGGAAGAAAUACUUCGGGCUAAUACCCUGGGGUGAUGACGGUACCUGAAGAAUAAGCACCGGCUAACUACGUGCCAGCAGCCGCGGUAAUACGUAGGGUGCAAGCGUUAAUCGGAAUUACUGGGCGUAAAGCGUGCGCAGGCGGUUCUAUAAGACAGAUGUGAAAUCCCCGGGCUCAACCUGGGAACUGCAUUUGUGACUGUAGAGCUAGAGUACGGUAGAGGGGGAUGGAAUUCCGCGUGUAGCAGUGAAAUGCGUAGAUAUGCGGAGGAACACCGAUAGCGAAGGCAAUCCCCUGGACCUGUACUGACGCUCAUGCAC